rnacentral:rRNA from 1 species
GACGAACGCUGGCGGCGUGCCUAAUACAUGCAAGUCGAACGCACUCUCGUUUAGAUUGAAGGAGCUUGCUCCUGAUUGAUAAACAUUUGAGUGAGUGGCGGACGGGUGAGUAACACGUGGGUAACCUGCCCUAAAGUGGGGGAUAACAUUUGGAAACAGAUGCUAAUACCGCAUAAAACCUAACACCGCAUGGUGUAGGGUUGAAAGAUGGUUUCGGCUAUCACUUUAGGAUGGACCCGCGGUGCAUUAGUUAGUUGGUGAGGUAAAGGCUCACCAAGACCGUGAUGCAUAGCCGACCUGAGAGGGUAAUCGGGCCACACUGGGACUGAGACACGGCCCAGACUCCUACGGGAGGCAGCAGUAGGGAAUCUGCCACAAUGGACGAAAGUCUGAUGGAGCAACGCCGCGUGAGUGAAGAAGGUUUUCGGAUCGUAAAACUCUGUUGUUGGAGAAG